rnacentral:rRNA from 1 species
GAUGAACGCUGGCGGCGUGCCUAAUACAUGCAAGUCGAGCGAACGGACGAGAAGCUUGCUUCUCUGAUGUUAGCGGCGGACGGGUGAGUAACACGUGGAUAACCUACCUAUAAGACUGGGAUAACUUCGGGAAACCGGAGCUAAUACCGGAUAAUAUUUUGAACCGCAUGGUUCAAAAGUGAAAGACGGUCUUGCUGUUACUUAUAGAUGGAUCCGCGCUGCAUUAGCUAGUUGGUAAGGUAACGGCUUACCAAGGCAACGAUGCAUAGCCGACCUGAGAGGGUGAUCGGCCACACUGGAACUGAGACACGGUCCAGACUCCUACGGGAGGCAGCAGUAGGGAAUCGUCCGCAAUGGGCGAAAGCCUGACGGAGCAACGCCGCGUGAGUGAUGAAGGUCUUCGGAUCGUAAAACUCUGUUAUUAGGGAAGAACAUAUGUGUAAGUAACUGUGCACAUCUUGACGGUACCUAAUCAGAAAGCCACGGCUAACUACGUG